CCAACCUAAAAAAAAAAGUCUAACACUAGAGAAUUAGAGUUUGUCAAAGGUGUUAAAAAUAAAAUGAGUGUGAAUGUCCUACAAGGUUUAUGAGAAAGUUCAGAAGGAAAGUAAAGAAAGACUAAGCAGCAAGACUUUUAGUAUUGCUGCAUCCUGGAGAAGGCAGCACUUGAGCCACCAUCUUGGAAGUGAAGAUCAGGCCCUCAGCAGACACAAAACCUGCCAGUGCCAUGAUCUUGGAUUUUUCAACCUGCAGGACUAUUCAAUGAAAUUCCAAUGAAAAUCUCAAGUUAUUAUGUGAAUAUUGAAAAACGAACCCUAAAGUUCAUAUGGAGAGCCAAAAAAUGCAAAAGAGCCAGCACAUAUUGAAAGAGAAGAACAAAGUCGGAAGAUUGACACUACCUGACUUCAAGGCUUAUGAUAAAGCUUCAGUAAUAAAGACAGUGUGGUAUGGACAAACUAAUAGAAAUAUAGAUCAAUGGAACAGAAUAGAGAACCCAGAAAUAGAUUCACAUAAAUAUAUUGUCAACUGACCUUUGACAAAUAAGAAAAAGCAAUACAGUAGAGCAAAAAUAGCCUUUUCACUAAACAAAUGAACAUCCACAUUCAAAAAAAAAAAUGAAUCUAGAUGGAGACUUACAUGCUUCACAAAAAUUAACUCAAAAUGAAUAAUAAACCUAAAUGUAAAACACAAAACAAUAAAAAUCCUAGAAAUAACAUGGAAGAAAAUCUAGAUAACCAUGGGGAUGAAGAAGACUUUUUAGAUACAGCAUCAUUGGUAUAAUCCACGAAAGAAAAAAUAGAUAAGCUGGACUUCAAUGAAAUUAAAAUUUCUGUUCUGCAUAAGACAAUGUCUAGAUAACAAGAAAACAAGGCACAGACUGGGAAGGCAUAUUUGGAAAAGACACAUCUGAUAGAGGACAGUUAUCUAAAAUAUAUCAUGCACCCUUAAAGUUCAACAAUAAUCAAACAAUCUGACUGACAAAUAGGCUGAAGACCUUAAGAGACACUUUACUUAAAGAAGAUUAUACAGAUGGGAAAUAAGCAAUGACAAGAUGGUCCACAUCAUAUGUCAUCAGAAAAAUGUAAAUUAAAACCAUGAGAUACUACAGUGCAUCUGUUAAAAUGGCCCAAAUCUGGAAAACUGACAACAUCAAAUGCUCAUGAAGCU
rnacentral:lncRNA from 1 species